GAUGAACGCUGGCGGCGUGCCUAAUACAUGCAAGUCGAGCGAACACACGAGGAGCUCUUUCCCCUGAGGUUAGCGGCGGACGGGCGAGUAACACGUGGAUAACCUACUUAUAUGACUGGGAUAACUUCGGGGAACCGGUGCUACUACUGGCUAAUAUAUCCAACGGCAUGGUUCAAUAGUUCUACACAGUUUUGCUGUCACUUAUAGCUGGAUCCGCUCCGCAUUAGCUACUUGGUAAGGUAACGGCUUACCAAGGCAACGACGCUUAGCCGACCUGAGAGGGGGAUCGGCCACAUGGAAAUGGGGACACGGUCCAAACUCCUACGGGAGGCAGCAGGGGGGAAUUUUCCGCAAUGGGCGAAAGCCUGACGGGGCAACGCCGCGGGGGGGAGGAAGGUCUUCGGAUCGUAAAACCCUGUUUUUAGGAAAAAAAAAAUGUGGAAGUAACCAUGCACGUCUGGACGGUACCAAAGCAUAAAGCCACGGCUAACUACGU
rnacentral:rRNA from 1 species